CUGGCAACAAAUCAUGGUGACUUGCACACGCUUUGGAAUUCAGAUAUAUCAAAGGAACUUGCUGGUUCAUAUUAACAGAAGACACUGGCAAAAGGUGUGAGGAGUGAUGGAACAAUACCUAUGUGAUUUCAUGAACUGAACUGUGUCAUGCAUUAUGAAGAGGAAGGGGAUGUUCUCUUUAAAACCAUAACAUUUUAUUGCAAUAUGAUCAAUUAUGUCUUUAUUUGGAUUUGAAUGCCCAUAUUGUUAUUUAAUCAAUGUAUUGUUUUGUUGUAUUUCUUUAGAAAAUUGGUGAAUUCCACUUCUCCAGGCCAUUGGAACAGGUCUGUACUGACAGAUUUUGAGGACAUCUUCAUCAAGGCUCCGUAAAACCCACAUGUAACCAGUGGUGGCAAUCAAAGGCUAGAAAGGUCAUCUCAGUACGCCAAACCUUUCAUCCUGCAUUGUCAGCGCAUGUGGAGGACCUCGUAGCAAAAUUAAGCAAUGCUCUGUUUGAGGCCAGGAAGGAACAAUUGCUAGAAAAAGUUCAGUUGCUUUAAUGAACUGAUUCCCGAGCUCAGCAUUCUGAUACUGAGAAGAACCGAAGGGUUCAAUACAUGUUGUUCAGAGAUGUAAUUUCUUGUGGAGUGUGUCAUUAAAAUCACCAGAUAGAUUCUCCAACAAUUCAACACAGCAAGAGACUUCAACACAGCA